UACGUAGGCAGCAAGCGUUGUUCGGAGUUACUGGGCGUAAAGGGUGCGUAGGCGGCCUUAUAAGUAUGGUGUGAAAUCUCCCGGCUUAACUGGGAGGGUGCGCUAUAGACUGCGGGGCUCGAGUGUGGGAGAGGAAAGUGGAAUUCCUGGUGUAGCGGUGAAAUGCGUAGAUAUCAGGAGGAACACCGGUGGUGUAAACGGCUUUCUGGACCAUAACUGACGCUGAGGCACGAAAGCGUGGGUAGCAAACAGG
rnacentral:rRNA from 1 species